AUGCGGUUCCUAUCAUCCGUGGAUCUGGCUUGUCAUCCACGGAUGGCCGUGGUUCUCCUCCCCCUCCUCCUCCUGCUCCUGCCCCUCGUGCCGCCCGCCGCUGCCCAAUCUUGGCCAUCUUGUGGCAACAGCGGUGUCUACGAAUCAGAUAGCACCUACGAAGCCAACCUCAGGCACCUCUCAUCCACCCUCCCGAAGAAGGCAGCAUCCAGCACCACCCUCUUCGCCACCGACACCCAUGGCAAUGUUCCGAAUGUCAUCUUCGCCCUCGCACUCUGCCGCGGGGACUCCAACGCCUCUGCCUGUGAGGGCUGUUUGGUUACCGCCUUCCAGGACGGACAGGACAACUGCCCCGACAGUAAGGACACCACCGUGUACUACAAUGGUAAUCCCUGCAUGCUCAGGUUCUCCAACAAGAAUUUUCUUGCCACCACCGACAAUGACAAAAUACUCGUCAUUGCGACUUUUGCGAGCAUGGAAAUGCCGCUCAACACCUCGAUAAGACACGACUCCUUCAGGUUCUUGUUGUUCACACUUCUGAACAACACAGCUCAAUCGGCUGCGAACAGCUCGAGGAGGUUCACCACCUCGCGCUUAGAUGUCAGCUCCCUCCCGACGGUCUACUGCCUUAUGCAGUGCACGCCCGACCUGACCGCUGAUGACUGUGCAGCCUGUUUCCAGCCUUACUCCUCGUUAACGUUCAAGCACAUGGACGAUGGGAAAGGUGGUCAAAUUCUGGGGACACGGUGUAGCAUGAGGUACGAGAUAUACCCAUUCUUCCAAGGGAAGCCCAUGCUGCGUAUUAUCAACUUGGCAUCUGCAGUUCCGGCGAUCAACAACACCUUGCCGCCAGUUACAGUGUACCCGCACCAGCAGUCACAACCGCAGUCACCGGUUGCGGCACCACCACCUCCGGAGGCACAAGCGAGCACCCAAGAACUUCAUGGACGCAACUCACACCAGAAGGCGCUGCGGAUUAUUGCUAUUGCAGCUCCAUUACUGUCAAUAUUUCUGUGCUGUAUCUGUUGCAUUGUAUGGAUGACAAGACGAAGAAAAGGAACUGAUAUCUUACACGAUCAAGCUGCCACGAAUAAGCUGGAAGAAGACGCAUUGGUUUCGAGAUUGGAAGACAAGAGUUCAGAGUUCACUCUCUUUGAAUUUUCUGACAUAUUCCAUGCUACACACAACUUCUCCAAAGAAAACCUACUUGGGCAAGGUGGUUUUGGUCCUGUCUACAAGGGCCAGUUACCAGAUGGAGUGGAAAUUGCAGUUAAAAGGCUUGCCGCACAUUCAGGACAGGGUUUCACUGAAUUCAAAAAUGAAGUUGAACUUAUUGCAAAACUACAGCACAAUAAUUUGGUCAAGCUCAUAGGAUGUUGCAUUGAGGGAGAGGAAAAACUUUUGGUGUACGAAUAUUUGCCAAAUAAGAGCUUGGACUUCUUUAUCUUUGAUGUUAGCAGAACAACAUUGGUUGAUUGGAAUAAAAGAUGUGUGAUAAUCGAAGGGAUAGCCCAAGGUCUACUGUAUCUCCACAAGCACUCUCGGUUGCGCAUCAUACACAGAGACCUUAAGGCCAGCAACAUUCUCUUGGACCAGGGCAUGAAUCCCAAAAUUUCUGAUUUUGGGCUAGCAAAAAUUUUCAGCUCCAAUGAUACUCAAGGAAGCACAAAGAGGGUGGUGGGAACAUAUGGUUAUAUGGCUCCGGAGUAUGCAUCUGAAGGCAUUUACUCGAUCAAAUCUGACGUGUUCAGCUUUGGUGUGUUACUUCUCGAGAUCAUUAGCGGACAAAGGAAUUCUGGUUUCCAUCAGCACGAAGACUUUCUUAACCUCCUUGGAUAUUCAUGGCAGCUCUGGGAAGGAGGAAGAUGUUUUGAGCUUCUAGAAGCAUCAAUUGCCAAGGAGAUCCACGCAGCUGAGGCUAGGGAGUACAUUAACAUUGCACUAAUGUGCGUACAAGAGCACGCAGAUGAUCGACCGACCAUGUCAAAUGUCGUUGCGAUGUUAAACAGCGAGAGUUUUAUUCUUCCAGAGCCUAAACAUCCAGCAUACUUCAGCCUAAGGGUAUCUAAGGUAGAUGAAUCGGGUAAUAAUGACGUAACCGUCUGCAGUAAUAACGACUUAACCAUCACUGAGGAGCCAGAUGGCAGAUAG
rnacentral:rRNA from 1 species